rnacentral:rRNA from 1 species
AGUGGCGGACGGGUGAGUAACGCGUAAGAAUCUAACUUCAGGACGGGGACAACAGUUGGAAACGACUGCUAAUACCCGAUGUGCCGCAAGGUGAAACCUAAUUGGCCUGAAGAAGAGCUUGCGUCUGAUUAGCUAGUUGGUGGGGUAAAGGCCUACCAAGGCGACGAUCAGUAGCUGGUCUGAGAGGAUGAGCAGCCACACUGGGACUGAGACACGGCCCAGACUCCUACGGGAGGCAGCAGUGGGGAAUUUUCCGCAAUGGGCGAAAGCCUGACGGAGCAACGCCGCGUGAGGGAGGAAGGUCUUUGGAUUGUAAACCUCUUUUCUCAAGGAAGAAGUUCUGACGGUACUUGAGGAAUCAGCCUCGGCUAACUCCGUGCCAGCAGCCGCGGUAAUACGGGGGAGGCAAGCGUUAUCCGGAAUUAUUGGGCGUAAAGCGACCGCAGGUGGUCAGCCAAGUCUGCUGUCAAAUCAGGUUGCUUAACGACCUAAAGGCGGUGGAAACUGGCAGACUAGAGAGCAGUAGGGGUAGCAGGAAUUCCCAGUGUAGCGGUGAAAUGCGUAGAGAUUGGGAAGAACAUCGGAGGCGAAAGCGUGCUACUGGGCUGUAUCUGACACUCAGGGACGAAAGCUAGGGGAGCGAAAGGGAUUAGAUACCCCUGUAGUCCUAGCCGUAAACGAUGGAUACUAGGCGUGGCUU